CUCCAGAUGUUGCUGAACUGCAACUCCCAUGAUUCUCAGCAAUAUAUAUUUAAUUCAUAGAAUCAUGGGAGUUGCAGUUCAGCAACAUCUGGAG